rnacentral:lncRNA from 1 species
UUCAUUAGUCCAACUUCCUAUUUUUACUAGUAAGAUAACUGACGAAAAUGUUUUCUUUAAUGUUUUUGUUUUCAAAACAUGCAUAUUGCAUGAAAGAUAAGAAGAGUGUGUUGAUGUAUGAAAGAAUACUUGAGGCCAAAGCCAAGAAGAAUAGGAAACUGUGUUGCUUAUGCGCCCAUUACGGUUGAGCAAUAAAGGACAUCUCAGUGGAAAACAUUUUGGAUAUCAACAAAUGGAGAUUCACCUCACACUUUUUGUAGUUUUGUUACCAGUUACUUAGCUUCACAAAGCCUCAGCACCUUUAUUUUAGAAAUGAAAAUAAGAAUGUUAUCCUAUGGAGAGGGUGCAAGUAAAUACACAAAGUACCUAAGACAAACCUAAAUAUCGUAUAGUCUUGGUAUAUGAUAAUCAUGAACUCUCAUCACAACCAAAAACAUAUUGUGACUCUGAAUCACCAUAAGCCACAUAAACUACACUCUUGGAGAGAAUGAAAAAGAGAGAGAACUCUAAAAGCCCUACUGCUAGUCCUGAGAUACAGACCAACCGGAGCAAAUUUGACUUAAGAGUCUUGGUUUGCUCAGUGUAAUAAGAUGACAUUACCUAACACCAAACAGCUCGGGUUGUGAAGUGGUAGAAAAUAAGAGUAUUGUGAGCCUUAGUGCAAGACCUCCGGGAGCUUCCACUUUCUGUUCAUGUGAUCUUGAACAAGUCACUUAAGCACUCAGAGCUUCAGUCUCCAUAUCCGUACAAUGGCGAUGAUAGUAGCAUCUCUUGGGAUCUUUGUGAAGAUUAUGUGAAACAAUUCAAGCAAAACGCUUAAUCCAAUGCCAGACACCCACUAAGAACUCUCUGUCUCUCGAUAUAUACAUUGUGGCAAAGUAAACAAAAAAUUUACCAUUUGAAGUAUUCUUAAGCCCACAGUUCAGUGAUAUUAAAUACAUUGACAGUGUUGUGCAACCAACAGUACCAUUUAUCUCCAGAACUUUUUUCAUCUUGCAGAACUGAAACUCUGUACCCAUUAACAGUAACUCUUCAUUUCCCCCUAUCCUCCAGACCCUGAAAUCAUCAUUAUACCUUCUCUCUCAGUGAAUUUGAAUUAGCUUUUUUAACUAGCUCAUGUAAGUGGAAUUUUACAGUAUUUGUCCUUUGGAGACUGCCUUGAUUCACUUAGCAUAAUGUCCUCAAGGUCUGUCUAUAUUGUAGCAUGUGUCAGGAUUUCCUUCACUUUCAGGUUGAAUAAUAUUCCAUUGUAUGUAUAUUCCACCUUUAGUGUAUCCAUCCGUCUGUUGACAGACACUUGGAUUGCUUUUGACUUUUGGCUGUGGUGAAUAAUGCUGCUAUUAGUAUUUCCAAUUUCACGACAUUUCCCCACACUUUGUGUGUGUGCGUGUGUGUGUAUGUGAGUGUGUAUGUAAAAUAGCAGCCAUUCUUAAAAAGGAGGCCUUCUAUGCUUUUGGUGGUUGUGUAAAUUGAUACAACCACUAUGGAAAACAGUAUGGAGGUACCUCAGAAACUAAAUAUAGAACUACCAUAUGAUCUAGCAAUCCCAUUCCUGGGCAUAUAUCUGGACAAAAAUUUCACUGAAAAAGAUCCAUAUACCUCUAUGUUCAUUGCAGCACUAUUCACAAUAGCCAAGACAUGGAAACAACCUGAAUGUCCAUCGACAGAUGAAUGGAUUAAGAUGUGGUACAUAUACACUAUUCAGCCAUAAGAGGAACAAAAUAAUGCCCAUUUGAGCAACAUAGAGACUCUCAUACUAAGUGAAGUAAGUCAGAAAGAGAAAGACAUAUACCAUAUAACUUAUAUCUGAAGUCUAAUAGAAUUAAAUAAUAAGUUCAGCAUAAAUGAACUUAUCUACAGAAGAGAAACAUACCCACAGACAUGAAGAACAGACCUGUGGUUGCUGAGGGGGAGGGAUUGGGAUGGACUGGGAGUUUGGGGUUAGUAGAUGCAAACUCUUACAUUUAGAAUGGAUAAAUAAGAUGUCUUACUGUACAGCACAAGGAAAGAUGCCCAAUCUCUUAUGAUAGUACAUGAUAGAAGAUAAUAUGAGAAAAAGAAUGUGUGUGUGUGUGUAUAUAUAUAUAUAUAUAUAUAUAUGACUGAGUCACUUUGGAGUACAGGAGGAAUUGACACACCAUUGUAAAUCAACUAUACUUUAAUUUAAAAAUUUAAGAAAUUCAUAUUAUUUUGUGUGUGAUUGUCUGGACUGCGGCUUAAUUUCCAUUGCCCACAGACCUGGGCAGUGACGAAUCCUGGAAUAGGAAGUGAGUUAGGAAUUGGAACUGGGGAGAGGGGCUUCUUUGACAAUAGGUGUGUAUCUGUGGUGUGGGGGUGGCUAAAAGAGUCCGACACGUGGGAAAAAUGAACUGUGAUUGCAGGAGAUAAAUCAACUUCUCCUGGCCACACUAACCAAGUUAGACAUAACUCCACAUCUUAAUUUAUUUUUAAAAACUCUGGGGUUGUUAUUGGCCAUGGAGCUCUCAGUUUCAGAUGAGCAUCUGAGUGGCCCACUGCCAGGAGUUGACAUGGUGGUGAUGACAAAGAGGUCACUCUGUAGGUUGCAGUGCAACUUGGCGGGAGACAAGCCUGCUCUCCGCAGCCCACAGUUUCUUGAGAUUGGACUUGGAGACACCUCUGGCUGAGGGCAACAAGCAACAAAGACAGGUGUUAGCAGUGCUGGGAUUUCUCACGUGGUAGGGAGGAACCGCUGGACAAAGGAGGACCUGCCUCCUGCUACCAGGGGCAAGAAUGGGCUUGGGGACUUCACAGACUGAACAUGUAAAAAUGUGACGUCAUGGUAGAUCAUAAAGCUCAGGAACGUGUGAGGGAUAGUCUUACCUGUCAGCGUGUUCCACGUGUGUAGAUUCAGCCUGAAGUCUUAGGAGGGCUGCCGUACGACAUGUGGGAGAUCAGCCUUUCCUUCAGGUCACUGUGAGCUGUGACUGCUCUCCACACCUGCACAGACAGCAGAGAGGGACAUGUGCAUUUCUGUGUAGGGCAGAGACAGAAGUCCACAAAGGCCACUGCAGUGUGAAAAAAGAAGGGCUGUUGUUUUUUGACAUUUUAUAAAGUGGGAGAAGGAGAUCCCUGGUGGCCAAGCAGGUUAAGGAUCUGGCAUUGUCACUGAAGUGGCUUGGGUCACUGUUGUGGCAUGGGUUUGAUCCCUGGCCUGAGAACUUCCACAUGCUGAGGGCGUGGCCAAAAAAAAAAAAAAAAGGUGGGAGGAAAGCCAGUGAGUGUGGAGUCCAAUAACAAAUGGAUACAUUUUGGGGUUUUUUUUUGGCUUUUUAGGGCUGCACCUGCAGCACAUGGAAGUUCUCAGGCUAGGGGUUGAAUUGGAGCUGCAGGUGCUGGCCUCUGCUCUGAUCUGAGCUGUGUCUGUGAUCCACACCACAGCUCACGGCAAUGCCAGAUCCCCAACCCACUGAGCGAGGCCAGGGAUUGAACCCACAUCCUCAUGGAUACUAGUCAAAUUCAUAAGCCCCUGAGCCACAAUGGGAACUCCAAGGAUAUUUUAAGUAGCUGUCACUGAUCUUAAACUCCUGAGUGGUCAGAAAGAUGAAGGUCUGAGACACGUGUGUGGAUUUGCAUUGUUGGGGGAGGGGGUUGACCACACUGUACGGCAGUGGGGACAAGUCAGACAGCUGUGAGUUGAGGCAUAAAGAGGAGGAAGAAGGAGAUGUCAGAUAACACGGGGAAAGUUUCCAGAAGGCGGAGGAGUGGAAAGAAUACAAAAAUCUAGCAAUGGAGUUUACCAGUGGGUGGCAAAGAUCUAAAUCUGCCCUGUCCUCUUGUCAUUUGCCAUCUAAGAUACGGCUCGUGCCACGGAGCAACUGAGUUCAAAAAUUUUAUUUAGUUCUAAUUAAUUUUAUGUAACUACCCGUAGUUAGAGGCAACACAGCAGAGAACCCAGAUUUGUAGAAAGAGAGUGCUGAGGGCGUUGUUAGGUUUGCCGAGGGAGGAACACACAAGGCCUGGUGGGUAAAGCAGGAGAGAUUUGUUAAGGCAUCAGAGGGGCACGGGCUGAGCUCAGGAUGGCGCCAGCCCCGACUGUGAGGAGGUGCUAAGCUUGUAGAGGAUCUGUGGCUGGAGUUCUUGGCGGCAACAUGUGGCAGGAAUGACGAAGAAGGAGGAGGAGGAGGGGAAGGUCAAGGGAGGGGGAGGGGGUGGGGUCCCGUGACAGAGGGCAGUGAAUCCUUGUCGGUGGUUCAUCGAUGCUCCACGUGGUGGGAAAGGGUGCAGAUCUCGAGCUGGGCUGUACCUGUGUCCCCAGCAGAUCUCCAAGGUCACAUUCGGGGGGUGGGGCUCUGUCUCCAUCCUCCUGGGAACCUCUCAGGGGUAUUGAGGGAGGUUUUAGUUUCUGUUGCUUUUGAGAUCAUCGAGACCUCUAUGGUUUUAGAAGUGAUGAGCCUUAGGCAGCAAGGAGGAGCUUUUGAAGUUGAAGGAGAGCAGCAAGGGAAUAAUAAAGUCUCUGGGAGAGAAGUGGUGAGGUUGAUGAGAUCUAGAGCAGAGAGCGAUGCUUUGGCUUUUCUCAAUACAUGAAACCAUGCUUCUGUGUGAGGACAGAGGGCGUGUGAUGAGCUUGGAGACUGUUAGGUGUGUAGGCUGGUGGCAGGAAGUGGAGUGGGUUUUCCAGCUGACGGAUUCCGGAUUCCGUUUUCUCUGAGGGAUGGGAAUUGAGGUCAUCCACCUCGAGGGAGGGGAAGAGUAGUGAGCUGGAGCUUUCAAGAGUCGAGAAUACUUAAAACAGCUUUGUGGAGAAGAUGGAAAGCUGAGGCGGGAGACAUGCCAUUUGUUGAGCAAUUCUUUUUCUGGUGGGGAAACUGAGACACAGAGAGGUGAUAUACGUCGCUCGGUAUCUCUCAAGUCCAGAGAACAAGGGAGCCUUGGAUCUUUUUGAUUCCACAGCCACAGUUCUUUCCACUGCCAAGAAGUUCACUUGCCUAAGCCAGCCUCCUAGCAUCCUAUCUGAGUCUCUUUGGACACUUUUCGCCUCCAAUUUUUAAUCAUAUUUAUUCGUGGAAAGGCUAAGUUUCGCUUAGUACAUUCUAGGUGUGUGGGAUCCAUCCUCGCAUUCAUCCCCGUGUCCCUGCAGUGCCCAGCACAACUCUGUGAAUGAGAUGAAGGCUCAGUAAAGAUCUGGUGAGUGGUGCGUGGAUGAGUAAAAAAGAAAAGAUGCAUAAGGCAGAUGAAAAGUCCCUUUCUCACACCCAGGUCCAUCUUCCACAUUCACGUGCACGAGCGACUUCAUUUCUGCUUCACGUUCCUACCUUAGACAGCACUGGAGCCUCUCCCCAUUAAAAUGAGGGUUUGGAAAGGCAUCAUUUAAAAUCACGUGAAGUGAGGCAGUGUGAAAAGCAAGGGCUGUCAUUUUUGAGAUUUUUUUUUUUUUUCUUUUUAAAAACUAUUUUAUUUACUUAUUUAUUUUUCUGGAUCCAGACAUGGCUGGAGAGCCGACACUUGGGAGGGUCCCCUUUCCUCAAUAUAAAUGACCUCACAGAGUUCAUGCCCUUAUCUUUCGUUCUCAAGGAUAUAAACAAACAUUGAGAUUGGCCAGAGCGCUGACCUUGGGGGUGACUAAGGCCCCCUGGAGUUCAAAUCUAACUAAGAUGUUCCCUGCUGGGACUCCGAUUCUCUCAUUUUGUGCUAUAUUUACCAAUGAUGUUACACUUUAUCUUAGCAAAUAUUUAAUUUGUCGAGAGAAAACAUGUCAUGAAUGCAUUACUCAUAAGUUUCCGUAUUUCCCAAAGAUCUGGCAAGUGGCAGAGAUGGAACUUGUGGGGUCCUGUUGAAACAGCAGAAAACAAAGCCAAGCACCCAACUUGAGUGAAUCCAAAGGGGAAGAGAUGGGUGUUACACAGAGGCUGAGAGAGAUUAUGCUAAAUGAUUUGAUAUGGCCAGUUGAUCAGUGGGCCCUUCCUAUGCAGUGGUCACCUUAGCUCAGAAAACACCUGGCUUUAGAAAUAAGCAUCUAAGAAUUAAGAAAAUGUAUCUUACUUAUUGAAAAUGUGGGGAGCUCACCAUUUUUUUUUUUUUUUCCAAUUCCCUUCUCCUGUUCAAUUAAAUAUACAUGUAGCUGCCAAUGGGUAAAUCUAAAGAUAGACAUUUUCCAUCACCAAUUUUGUGCUCAUGUCAAACUUCUUUACUGAAACGCCUCUGAGAGAAUAAAAUCUUUCUUGACAUUGGUGAUUUUGAGACUACCGAAAUACAUACUAUUUUAGAAAACCAAAAUAGGCUGUUUAAAGAAGGGUUUCUUUUCUUUUUUUUUUAAAUCGAUAAGCACCUUUAAAACCUCAUUAUUUGUACUGUGAGUUGAAAUCUGACCAUAGAAGCCCUUCUCUUGAUUUCCCAAGUGACCUCAUAAAGGGUUUGGGCUAACUUUCUCUAAUUCCAAAAUCCAAAGAAAAUAAAUUUUAUCCAGAUGUUGGGCUUGGAGAUUCGUGUUACAUUACAAACAAAACUGAAUAUUUGUUUUUGGAAAAUCUUACUACCGUAUAUGAUUUAAAGUAAAGGUUAUAUGUGUUGCUUCAUUCUUGUUGCAGCAUCUUGUUUUUUCAGCCUCUGAAUGCCACUUUCCCACUUCUCAGUCUCUGGCAUUUCUAUGUUUUUGGACAAUGCACAUGAUUAAAAUGAUAUUUUCAUAUUUCAGUGUAGUUGGAGCUCCUUAAAGCAGAGGGUUGUAAGU